GCUGGCGGCAGGCCUAACACAUGCAAGUCGAACGGACCUUUCGGGGUCAGCGGCGGACGGGUGAGUAACGCGUGGGAAUAUGCCCUUCUCUACGGAAUAGUCCUGGGAAACUGGGGGUAAUACCGUAUACGCCCUUUGGGGGAAAGAUUUAUCGGGGAAGGAUUAGCCCGCGUUGGAUUAGGUAGUUGGUGGGGUAAUGGCCUACCAAGCCGACGAUCCAUAGCUGGUUUGAGAGGAUGAUCAGCCACACUGGGACUGAGACACGGCCCAGACUCCUACGGGAGGCAGCAGUGGGGAAUCUUAGACAAUGGGGGCAACCCUGAUCUAGCCAUGCCGCGUGAGUGAUGAAGGCCUUAGGGUUGUAAAGCUCUUUCAGCUGGGAAGAUAAUGACGGUACCAGCAGAAGAAGCCCCGGCUAACUCCGUG
rnacentral:rRNA from 1 species